rnacentral:tRNA from 1 species
GGCUCUGUGGCACAAUGGAUAGCGCAUUGGACUUCUAAUUCAAAGGUUGUGGGUUCGAAUCCCACCAGAGUCG